rnacentral:rRNA from 1 species
GAUGAACGCUGGCGGCGUGCCUAAUACAUGCAAGUCGAGCGAACGGACGAGAAGCUUGCUUCUCUGAUGUUAGCGGCGGACGGGUGAGUAACACGUGGAUAACCUACCUAUAAGACUGGGAUAACUUCGGGAAACCGUAGCUAAUACCGGAUAAUAUUUUGAACCGCAUGGUUCAAAAGUGAAAGACGGUCUUGCUGUCACUUAUAGAUGGGUCCGCGCUGCAUUAGCUAGUUGGUAAGGUAACGGCUUACCAAGGCAACGAUGCAUAGCCGACCUGAGAGGGUGAUCGGCCACACUGGAACUGAGACACGGUCCAGACUCCUACGGGAGGCAGCAGUAGGGAAUCUUCCGCAAUGGGCGAAAGCCUGACGGAGCAACGCCGCGUGAGUGAUGAAGGUCUUCGGAUCGUAAAACUCUGUUAUUAGGGAAGAACAUAUGUGUAAGUAACUGUGCACAUCUUGACUGUACCUAAUCAGAAAGCCACGGCUAACUACGUG